CUGAGGAGGUGUCCCCGGGCGAGCCGUGGCCACCUGAACGCCUGGACCUAGUGGCCUUGGAAGAAACACUGCAGUUCCACUAGGAGGAGCACUGACACAGGCGGACCUGCAGAAUUUCCAGGAACUAUUGUGUUUGCAGGCCUUCAGAACAAGAACUAAGAGUAGAGGAGAAGUUUUUCCUCCCAGACACAACUCUCGGGAUUUAUUCAAGUGAAUACUCCAUUUUCCAGACAUAUUCUUCCUUCGCAUGGCGCCCAUCAACCCCCCCACACACCCCAGUUCUGCAUCAAUAUGGAAACUACCACGAAAGCCUGGAAGGAAAGGUGAAGCAGUUCAUUCAAGUCAAAAUGGAAGGCUGUUCCCCUUACAGUGUUCACCAGGAAAGUUCAUCACUCUGUCAUGAAGUUUUAUGAGAAUUUUCUUCACACUUGUGCCCUUAACCAUCAUUAGUUUAUAAUAUGUAGGAAAAGUUGAAUUGAAAUAUAGAAAUUCACCUAGUUAAAUUAUAGAAAAUUAUUGAAGGGAUAUAAUAAACUGCCUUCUGUUGAAGUCUUGGAACUCCAAACCAUGAUACAUCUUGCUUCUGCCUACUAGUUAAUAUUUAUUAAAUGAUUUCUAAGUGACAGGCACUAUUGUUAGAGAUCCACACGAAUUGUUUUGUUGAAUCAUAACAAAACAUUGUGAGUAGAUAUUAUCCCUAUUUCACGUAAGAUGGAACUGAGAUAUUAAGGAAUAAAGUAACUUGCCCAAAGUCACACAAAUAAGAAGUGGUAUGACUGGUAUGUCAUCCCAGACAGUCUGAUUCCAGAGCCUUCACUCCUGGUACAUAUCCUAAUUUUCUCAAGGAAAUACAAGAAUUUAUUUAUAAUUAAAUUAAACUUAUGGAACUUAUUCCUUAGUGAAUUGCCUUGAGUGCAAUGGAAUCUAAAAGACUUGCAGAGGCAUUUAAAGCAUUAAUGCUUUUUAUAUAGUGAGUUAAUUAAAUAAAACAUUAAAAUUAAUUUCAAAUGUG